AGCAUCCUUGUGACACGUAUCUGAGAUCAGACAAGCCUCCUCUUGAGUCUUCACAGCCAUGUGAUGAGCUGGGCAAAUGAUCUGCUUAAAAACCAACCUCCCUCUAUAAGGAAAAACCCUGUCAGGAUUUGUUUUCAGCCUGAUCCAUUCCCUAAACCAAAUGUCAUUGCACAAGGAGGGAGCGAGGCAGCUCACCGGGCAGGGCUGGAUGUCUCCUUUUGGCAGCGGCACAGAUUUUGAUCAGCUUGAAGCAAUCGUGAAACUGCAGCCUGAACUUCCAGUGACUCACACCGAGAAGGGAAACUUCCUGGCUUGUGUGUUUCAGCAUUUCUGGAACAAAUGCUAUAUUUGGCAUGGAAAAUAGGAAGGAUUCCUCUGGCCACUUGAAAUGGGAGCUGCAAAAAUUAUUCAAUGGGCAGUUUAAGAGAGAAGAACAAGGGUGCUUUCUAAAUUAUUCAUUGUGAUUCUUCACGAUAUGUGUUUUGUCCACAACAGGCUCAACAGUGUCUGCACACAGGAUGAUCCAGGCUCCGCCAGGAAGAUGCACAAUUUAUUGCUCUGACAGCAAUCCUGCCAAUGCACAUUGGCUAUGCAUUAUUGACUACGGACAUUAUAGGCUGCUUCCAUCUGUUUACCAACAAAAACCGCUCCUUAAAGGGAGAUGCUUCAUGCUGCAGCCUGACAAAUCCCAUGGCAGCGCUGGAUCAGCACUUCAGGUGGGAAAACCUCUUCCUCCCACUACUGAGACCCUGCCAGGGCUGAUUCCUGGGAUCCAUGCAGCUGCAUUUGUUACACAGGAGCUGCCCCUUUCACCUGGUGACCCACGAAUGCCCGGUGUGGCUGUGCCAACAGUGAGUGACUGGCACCACUGCUGUGAUGCUCAGAGCAGGGAGCAGAAAGGGGGCUGUUGGACUGCACCCCUCUCCUAGCUGCCGAGGCUCUGGAGCUGAGGGACCUCCGGAAUGGGAAGUAAUGGGAUUUAACUCUUUCCAGUUUCUAUGCUGAAUUUAUCCAGUUGAUUUUUGUCUGUAAU
rnacentral:lncRNA from 14 species